rnacentral:lncRNA from 1 species
UUAUUAUAUUAAACUAAUUUAAUAAAAGAAAUAAAAGAUAGAAAAAGAGAAAUGGAAACAGAACAGGCAAACGAAAACAGGGGAGAAAGGAAAGAAAAAGAAAAAGGGAAGGAAAGAAAGAAAAUUUGGGGUUUCAAGGUUUCAAGCUCAAUUGGUAAGUCAAAUUAAGUUAUUUUCUUAUAAUUUUUGAGUUUUUGGAGUUCUAGAACAAAAUAUUUCAUGGUUUAUGUUGAAAUUUGGGAAGAUGUUAUAUUUCUAGACAUUGAUUAUGUUGAAUAAAUGAAAGAAUUAGGGGUUAAAUUGAUUGAAUUUCAAGUUAGAAGUUAGUAAAGGAUUUAAUUGUAAAAUAAAGUGUAAGUUUUGAAUAGUAGGGACUAAAUUGAAAGAAUCCCGAAAUUAGGGAUUUAUGGUGAAAAUGAAGAGUUAAAAUGAGUUUUUAGUAAGAAUUAAGAGAGAAUAUNNNNNNNNNNNNNNNNNNNNNNNNNNNNNNNNNNNNNNNNNNNNNNNNNNNNNNNNNNNNNNNNNNNNNNNNNNNNNNNNNNNNNNNNNNNNNNNNNNNNGAAAAAUAUAUUGAAUCAAAUGGUGAUUAAAUUGUAUAAUGAUUUGAAUUGAAAGUAUGAGAAAGUGAUUGAAUUGAAAUGUGAUUCGGAAACCCUAUUAACUAGUCGGGCUGAGUCGGAUAUAGUUGGCAUGCCAUAGGAUUGGAAGUGUUCAGGGAUACUUCGACCUUGAGUCGAUGAGACACUGGGUGUCAUACUGUUACUUCGGAUAGAUUCGAUGAGGUACUGGAUACCAACUUACUUCGGCUUUGCCGAUGAGACACUGGGUGUCAACUAUGGCUUCGAACUAUCCGAUGAGGCACUGGGUGCCGUACUAGUGUGUUUGGUUGGAUCCGUGUAUCCGCCAAAGUCCGAGUCAUGUUAAUAGGGGGAAAAUAAAAGAAUUGAAGUAAGAAAUGAUAUUGAAUUAUGAAUUAUGUGAAUAUUUGAAGGUAUAUGGAUUGGAAAUUAAAAGCAAUUUGAAUUGAAGUAAAUUGAUUUGAAAUAAGACAUUGAAUUCAGAUGUGAAAAUGGAAUGUGAGAAUUAUGGUUCAAGAAACAAAUAAUGAUAAAUUUUAUGAAAUAGUUUUUGGUAAUAUGAAAUGAUGUAAAAAUGACAAGUGAAAAUAAAAUGAUUUGAAAUAGUGAAAUAAUAUGUGAAUUUAAUUGAAUACAAGUUAUUGAAUUUUAUUUAUGGAUUUAAUGUGUAAAUUGAGUGUUAAAAGAUUAUAAGUGUAAAAUUGAAUAUAAAUAGAAAUGAGAAUGAAUGAGUUGAUGAAAUGAUUGAGUUUGUAUGGAUUGGAAUGAGUUAUUAGAAUGAGAUGUUGAAAAAUCCAAUAAAAUUUAGAUAGUGAAACAAGGUAUGAAUACAAUUAAAUAUAAGAUUGAAAUAUUGCUUAUUGUUAUUAAUGAUCAAGUUGAUUUAAAGUAUGAGGCAAUUAACGAAUAAUUGUAGACAUAAAUUAAAUGUAUAUAAAUUAUCGAUUAAAGUUAUUAAUUUGAAUUAUGGUAAUACCACUGAGUAUUCCCAUACUCAGCGUACGGUUGUUUCCGUGCGCAGGUUAGUAGAAAACCAGUGUUCGGUCCAGCAUCCAGAGUAAUCCCGACCUCAGAGAAAUUUAGCAAUGUAUUUUUCUUUUGGUAACGUGGCAUGUACCUAAGUAAUGUUUAUACCUAAGUGAUGUAUAGGGAUUAGUCAAUUUGAAUGUUUGUAUCUAUGAUAUUGCUAAAGGAAGAUGUGUGAGUAUGUGAUAAUGUUUGGCUUUUAAAAUGGUUAAGUAUGAAUAUGUUUGGUAAUAUGUAUGUUUAGAUGAUAAAUCAUGCAUGGAAAUCAUGAAAGAGUAAAAAUUUGUAAAGAAACAGAUUUCAAGCAGCUACAGUGAUGUGACUUUGAAAAAUCACCUAGGAUAGUAUAAAAUUAAUUAGAGGGUGAAUGAUAUAUGGAAUUAAAGCUUGUUGAGUCUAUUUUCA